AAGACUGUAGCAUAAUCGGUUAAUGCAAUCUGCUCAUAAUAGAUGAGAUAUGGGUUCAAGUCCCGUCGGUCUUA
rfam:Rhizoctonia solani AG-1 IA unplaced genomic scaffold scaffold47, whole genome shotgun sequence.